UUCACUCACUGUACACCGAAAUCACCGUCUCCUCCAUUUCACCCUAGCUCCACCAUUUUGACGAAGUUCUUCCCAGUGUCUUGAGGUCCGGCCUAGCAUCAUCUGAUGCCGACGAUCUCACGGAGGAGGCUAUGACUAGACGCAGAGGUCUCCAUCCACCUCACCCUGGUGCGAGAGUGGGCGAGUGCUUUCGACAGUGGCAAGAGGCAGAGAAAGCAAGUUCAUUUCCCUAUAAAAGUGUGAGAUCCAUGAGGCAAAAUGCAGAAUCAAAGAAGUUGGAUGUAUAAAAGGAAUUUACUUGAUCAUCGAGGUUUAACUGGAAAUCUUGAAUGCUACAAAUGAACCAUUAUGGGUUGGUUGUGAUGCUCACACUAAAUUAUCUCUCACUGCAAGACUAUUUAAUGUCAAGGAGGAGCAUAAUGUAUUGCAAGAUUAUUUUAAUGAUUUUGUUCAAGUUAUUGGAGAGCCAUUGUCGCGUGAUCACAUGCUGCCCAAUGAUUUUUACUGUAUGAAAAAAUUUAUGAAAGAAUUAGGUAUUUCAGUGGAAAAAAUUGAUGUUUGCAGAGAUGAUUGUAUGUUAUAUUGGGGAGAUGAUACAGAUACUGAUGUUUAUAAAUUUUGUAAUCAAGCUAGGUACAAGAGCACCAGACGAAGUCAACAAUGAUAUAAAUCAUACAUCCGGUUGUUUAUUUACCUUUAACUUAUAGGCUACAAGGUUUUAUGCAUCAAAGAUUACUGUUGAACAC